rnacentral:rRNA from 1 species
UUGCACUUUGGCAGACUGAGUGGCGGACGGGUGAGUAACGCGUGGGUAACCUGCCUUAUACAGGGGGAUAACGGCUGGAAACGGUCGCUAAUACCGCAUGACGUGUUCGGAUGGCAUCAUCUGAACAUCAAAGAUUUAUCGCUGAAAGAUGGGCUCGCGUCUGAUUAGAUAGUUGGUGGGGUAACGGCCUACCAAGUCGACGAUCAGUAGCCGGACUGAGAGGAUGAACGGCCACAUUGGGACUGAGAUACGGCCCAGACUCC